UGCCUGUAGGAGACAGAUCUAAGUGAGGUC
rnacentral:piRNA from 1 species